rnacentral:tRNA from 1 species
GGCGUGAUAGCUCAGUUGGUAGAGCAACGGAUUGAAAAUCCGUGUGUCCCC